AAGCUCGUAGUUGAAUUUCGGGGUUAGUAGGUUGGUCAUGCCUCUGGUAUGUACUGGUCUCACUGAUUCCUCCUUCCUUAUGAACCGUAAUGCCAUUAAUUUGGUGUUGCGGGGAAUUUGGACUGUUACUUUGAAAGAAAUUAGAGUGUUUAAAGCAAGCUAACGCUUGAAUACAUUAGCAUGGAAUAAUGAAAUAGGACGUUCGAUCUUAUUUUGUUGGUUUCUGAAUCACCGUAAUGAUUAAUAGGGAUAGUUGGA
rnacentral:rRNA from 1 species